rnacentral:rRNA from 1 species
GACGAACCGUGCGAACGUUGUUCGGAUUCACUGGGCUUAAAGGGCGCGUAGGCGGAUAAGCAAGUCCGGGGUGAAAUCUUUCGGCUCAACCGGAAAAGUGCCUUGGAUACUGCUUGUCUCGAGGGAGGUAGGGGUUGCUGGAACUUCCGGUAGAGCGGUGAAAUGCGUUGAUAUCGGAAGGAACGCCGGUGGCGAAAGCGAGCAACUGGAUCUCUUCUGACGCUGAGGCGCGAAAGCUAGGGGAGCAAACGGG